UCUGUAGACCAGGAAGUGCCGAGUCCGACUUCUACAAAUGACAAAACAUUACUCACUAAAACAGUUGCAAUCAGUACGAUUGUGGCAUUAUUUCGCUAAUUGUGUAACAGUUUUUGUAUCUCACGUGUCAUAUCGUAUUGCAGCUAUUUUGGAAAAGGUUUCCUGUUUUGAAGUCACGAUUUAUGGAAAAACAGAUCGUUGCAUUGAAGGAAAAAUUGGCACAAUUAGGAAAGAUUUCCACCUCUUCGUCUGAAGAGGUGUAGCAGGGAUCGGACCAAAACGCAGCGUGGUAAGUGUCAAUAUCGUUUAUUAAAAAUAUAAACUGAACACUAGAACUACAAAACAAUAAAUGUGAACAUGAACGAAAACCAAA